rnacentral:lncRNA from 1 species
AUUCAGCUGUUUCAGGACCAACCUAUUGAUACUUUUUAAACAAGCAAACAAAGAAAAAAAUCUCAAAACAUCUCUAUGCAAAGAAAACACAGUGAAAAACAGUCCUGAACCUAAAUUAAAUAAUAGAAGUGCGUAGAGAAAAUGGUCUACUGGUGAGAAACUAGAAGGGUUCUAGGGCUUUACUCCCAUAGAGUCCUAAGCUUUUACAUUUACUUUAAUAGAAACUUAAAUCACUCUCCAAUGAUUUCUCUUAUGGAAAAGCAUGAGUUAAAUGAGAAUGGUUAAGUAUAAACAAGUUGAAUGUCACAGACUGGUAAAUAAAAUGUUAUGAUCUAAAGGAAUGGCUGUGGAUUUCAAAGAGAUAUGGAUUCAUGCAGGAAGUGAGUAACUCCUUUAGACUUCCUACUAUCUAUAAGUGGGGUCCCACUGACGUUGUUGGUAUCCUCUCACAAGAGAAUAGGACCCAUAUUUUUAGAUUUGUGUAUGCCAGCUACUUGCUGGAGUUGUUAUCACACUCAUGUAUUUUUAGUGGCUCACUAUAUUAAGGAGAGGAUCCUUUGCAUUGUGUUGUGUCAUUCGCAGUGUGCGAACUUCCUGCAGCAGUUCUGCUCCUUUGAUCCCACCAGCCACAAGAGCAGAAGAGCUGAUUCAUCAGCCAUGACUAUUUCUUCCAUAACAGGAGCUUCCCAGAUGAUAAUUUCAACAAAGGGAGGAAGAAUAAAUACAGAGCUCCAGUGAUGUCUCUCCAUUCUUUCUAAAUGCAAUUUGCUAAACCAGUCUUCCCUCACACUGCUCAUUCAGGCAGUGAUACAUUAGGAAGCAUUUCACAGUUUCUAUGCACAGGAGAGAUUCCUGGUCUCAGCUGUGUAAAUGUUUUAACUGAGAUUCAUGCUUGGCUAUUCAGAUCAUUGCUUUCUCUUCCAGCCCACAUAGGCCAAAAUGCAUCAAUAUAAGGAUAAAGUGUCCAAAAUCAACACAAUAUUUUCACUUGAACACACCUAUGGCAUGUGGUUCACUCAAAGUACAGGCUACUAUGCCAAGUGCUAGGUUUACACAUUUGCCUGAUAUGAACUUAGCAUGAUCUAUAAAAAUGAUGCAACAGUCCUGUUUUGUGUCUUUUCAAAUCUGACAUGGCAGAAAACCUUUCUGGCAAAGGAAAAAAAAUAAAAAAUCACCAAUAGUUCUCA